rnacentral:rRNA from 1 species
CCCUUAGAUGUCCGGGGCUGCACGCGCGCUACACUGAAGGAAUCAGCGUGCUAAAACCAUUGUCGAAAGGCAUUGGUAAACCCAUUAAAAUCCUACGUGAUUGGGAUCGGGAAUUGCAAUUAUUUCCCUUGAACGAGGAAUUCCCAGUAAGUGCGGGUCAUAAGCUCGCGUUGAUUACGUCCCUGCCCUUUGUACACACCGCCCGUCGCUGCCCGGGACUGAGCCGUUUCGAGAAAAGCGGGGACUGCUGCUGUCGGGGCUUUCGGGCCUUGGCUUCGGUGGAAACCGCUUUAAUCGCAGUGGCUUGAACCGGGCAAAAGUCGUAACA